AACGAACGCUGGCGGCAGGCCUAACACAUGCAAGUCGAGCGAGGACUCCGGUCCUAGCGGCGGAGGGGUGAGUAACGCGUGGGAAGUUGCCCUUUGCUUCGGAAUAGCUCUGGGAAACUGGGAGUAAUACCGGAGGAGCUCUUACGGGGUAAGAGCUAUCGGCGAAGGAUCGGCGCGCGUUGGAUUAGGUGGUUGGUGGGGUAAUGGCCUACCAAGCCGACGAUGCAUAGCUGGUUGGAGAGGAUGAUAAGCCACACUGGGAAUGAGACCCGGCCCCGACUCCUACGGGAGGCAGCAGUGGGGAAUCUUAGACAAUGGAGGAAACCCUGAUCUAGCCAUGCCGCGUGAGCGAUGCAGGCCUUAGGGUUGUAAAGCUCUUUCAGCUGGGAAGAUAAUGACGGUACCAGCAGAAGAAGCCCCGGCUAACUACGUG
rnacentral:rRNA from 1 species